GCAAGUACAAAAAAAUUUAACUCCCAUCGAUCAUAAGAAGUUGAAAGGUCAUAAAAAUGUGAACAAAGCAAAAAGGGAAGGAACAAUGCUCAACAUCAAUUCCAUGCAGGAUAUUGUUGUUCUUACAAGUGUGAGUUGUGAAGUUUGACAUGUGUUAAAUUUAAAAAAUUCACAUAUAACCAAAUCAUGCUAAAAAAUUCACAUGAGAGAAUUUGCACUCAAGACAAUUACAUGUUUGUAUAAUAUCUAUGAUAUGCAUGGAUUAUGAAUUUUAAGGCAGGUAAUUUUGUAUGCAAUGGAAUAGGAGGCCUCAAAUGACAAGAACAUGACACCAAAAUCAUGGAGUUACAUGUCAUGCGAACCGUGGGAUCCAAGACAGGAAUCGCUUCCACUGGAUUCAUUGGAUCCAAUGCUAUGGGAAUCAUGGGGUCCAGUGACACAGCCACAGGGAUCAUGGAAUCCAUCAGUGGCACGAGAAUCAUGGAAUUCAAUUGAUUGUGAAGGGACAGGUCCAUCAAACCAGUUAGUUUCAAGUAAGGAAAUCACCAUGAGUGAUAGUGACUCUGAAAUGACGAGAUUGAAUCAUAGAACUGCCAAGUGGAAACUGUGGUUAUGUGGUUUAUUUUCUUCGUCUAUGUUUUCUUCCUCCUCUUCUCUGAGGAAAAGGCUCCUAUAACCAUCAAGGCUUAGAAGGUCAUCGUCUUCUUGAUCACAUCAGAGUAUGGAAACUUCCUUGGUUCAAUGCAAGUUGAGACCUAAAUCUUGCCAUUUUAUUUUUAAAGAAACUCAGAUUGAUUAUGACAGUAGUUUCUGUCUUCCAUGUAAUGUAUUUAUGUUUGAUCUGUAUAUAAAAUGUAUAUUUAAAUUUAUACAUUAUUUUGAGGUAGCAAGUAAUUUUGUCCUAUUUCUUCA